UACAGAGGUGCCGAGCGUUAGGCGGAAUCACUGGGCUUAAAGCGUGUGUAGGCGGAUGCCUAAGUACCUUGUGAAAUCCCAUGGCUUAACCAUGGAACUGCUCGGUAUACUGGGUGUCUUGAGCCACUUAGGGGCUACCGGAACAAAUGGUGGAGCGGUGAAAUGCGUAGAUAUCAUUUGGAACGCCAAUGGUGAAAACAGGUAGCUGGGAGUGUGCUGACGCUGAGACACGAAAGCCAGGGGAGCAAACGGG
rnacentral:rRNA from 1 species